GGGCUUGUGGCUCAGUGGUAGAGCGUUCCCUUCGCAAGGGAGAGGCCGAGGGUUCAAUCCCCUCCAAGUCCA
rnacentral:tRNA from 1 species